rnacentral:rRNA from 1 species
AAAUAGAUACCCGGGUAGUCCACACCGUAAACGUUGGGCGCUAGGUGUGGGAUCCAUUCCACGGGUUCCGUGCCGCAGCUAACGCAUUAAGCGCCCCGCCUGGGGAGUACGGCCGCAAGGCUAAAACUCAAAGGAAUUGACGGGGGCCCGCACAAGCGGCGGAGCAUGCGGAUUAAUUCGAUGCAACGCGAAGAACCUUACCUGGGUUUGACAUACACCGGAAGCCUCCAGAGAGUGGGGGUUCGUUCUUUGUAUACUGGUGUACAGGUGGUGCAUGGCGUGUCGUCAGCUCGUGUCGUGAGAUGUUGGGUUAACGUCCGCAACGAGCGCACCUCGUCCUAUGUUGCAGCGGUUAGUGCCGGGACGUCAUAGGAGACGUCGUCCGGGUCGAACGUACGGAGGAAGGUAGGGGUAGUGACGU